rnacentral:lncRNA from 1 species
AAGAGCAAAGCAAGGGCAGCAUGUGGGGUAUGUCCCCUGUGUAAGUCCCUCUGCACCCCCCUGUUUUGUGGAGGGUGGCAAAUCAGCUUCUUUCCCCAGGGACGUGUGGUGUGCUACUGCGGAAGGUGAAUGGCACAGCCAUUAUCCAGCUGCCCUCUAAGAGGCAGAUGCAGGUGCUGGAAACGUGCGUAGCAACAGUAGGCCGAGUAUCCAACGUUGAUCAUAACAAACGGGUCAUUGGCAAGGCAGGUCGCAACCGCUGGCUGGGCAAGAGGCCUAACAGUGGGCGGUGGCACCGCAAGGGGGGCUGGGCUGGCCGAAAGAUUCGGCCACUACCCCCCAUGAAGAGUUACGUGAAGCUGCCUUCUGCUUCUGCCCAAAGCUGAUAUCCCUGUACUCUAAUAAAAUGCCCCCCCCCCCCGUUUUAA